AUGGAGACCUGUAUGAAUGGCAUCACGAGGGCUUAACUGUCUCCUUUUCCAAGUCAAUGAAAUUGAUCCCCCCGUGCAGAAGCGGGGCUGCAAUCAUAAGACGAGAAGACCCUAUGGAGCUUUAGACACUAAAGCAGACCAUACAUUUCCUCCCCCAUAAAGAGAAGGAACCAAAUGAUCCCCUGCCCUAAUGUC
rnacentral:rRNA from 1 species